AAAGAUAUUUAUCCAAGGCUUAUAUAAUAAUGUAUUGCUCAAAGAGUUGAUCUAAUGAUAGAAAACUUGAUAGCAUUAGGUGUUAAUUUGGUGCUAUCGAUAGCAUUGUAGCCAGACUUUAUAUAUAGAACUAGGCUAGAAUACUAUUAAUAGCAAGUCAUUGGUGCUAUUAAAUUUUCGGCCCUUUAAUAAAACAAUGUGCGGUUAGGAUGAUAGUGAUUCCCUAUGGUUUAGUAGGUGGUUGGUUGAAUAGUAUGAUCUAAUGGGUAAAAAUAGUCAAAGGGUUGAUCUAACGGCAGAAAAUUUGAUAGCACCAAGUGCUUGGUGCUAUCGAUAGUAUUGUAGCCGGAUUCUAUAUAUAGAAAUAGACUAGAAUACUAUUAAUAGCACCAAAGUCAUUGGUAUAUUAAAUUUUCAGUCCUUUAAUAAAGCGAUGUGUGGUUAGGAUGAUAGUGGUCCCCUAGGGUUGAGUGGGUGAUUGGUUGAAUAGUAGGAUCUAACGGAUAAAAAUGGUCAAAUGGUUGAUUUAAUGGCAGAAAAUUUGAUAACACCAAAUGUUUGGUGCUAUCAAUAGCAUUGUAUAGCGGGACUCUAUGCAUAUAUAUAUAUAUUAGAAUUCUUUAGUUUAAACUUUUAUUUCGGUUCCAGAUAUGAGCAGUAUUUGAGGAAAAAAAUUGAAAAUUUAGUUACAACUGGUGCUAUAUUAGAGAGAUAGGUAGCACGCUACCCACUUCGUUUAUUUUAUUUAAAAAUAAACUUAGCUGGAAAUAUGAAUCAACUAGGAUUCGAACUUUGUGUUUUAAUUUCAAGACUUAAAAUUAAAACACGAAGUUUUCAUUAAAUAAAAUAAACUUAGCUGGAAAUGUGAAUCAACUAGGAUUCGAACUUUGUGUUUUAAUUUCGAGACUUAAAAUUAAAACACAAAGUUUUCAUUUAAGUCUUUGUGCUUCUGCUACAAAGAGGACUCGUUUAGAAGUUUUUUUUUAUCAAUAAGUGCUUUUUAUAAUAGUUUUGUUCAAACAAUACUUCAUCAAAUAGCACUAUAUAAUCUAAAACCUAAAGCUAGGCGAAACAGAUAAUUAGUACCUACCAAA
rnacentral:lncRNA from 1 species